GACGAACGCUGGCGGCGUGCCUAAUACAUGCAAGUAGAACGCACAGUUUAUACCGUAGCUUGCUACACCAUAGACUGUGAGUUGCGAACGGGUGAGUAACGCGUAGGUAACCUGCCUGGUAGCGGGGGAUAACUAUUGGAAACGAUAGCUAAUACCGCAUAAUAUUAAUUAUUGCAUGAUAAUUAAUUGAAAGGUGCAAUUGCACCACUACCAGAUGGACCUGCGUUGUAUUAGCUAGUAGGUGAGGUAACGGCUCACCUAGGCGACGAUACAUAGCCGACCUGAGGGGGUUAUCGGCCACCACUGGACUGAGAAACGGCCCCGAACCCCUAGGGAGGGAAGCGGUGGGAAUUUUCGGGAAAUGAAGGAAGUCCUACCGAGCAACGCCGGGUGAGUGAAGGAGGGUUUCCGAUCGUAAAGCUUUGGUUUAAGAGAAGAACGGGUGGGGGAGUUGAAAGUUCACACUGUGACGGUUUCUUAACCAAAAGGGACGGCUAACUACGU
rnacentral:rRNA from 1 species